rnacentral:lncRNA from 1 species
AACAGAAGAAAUCUAGAACAAGAUCUGAGCCUCUAUACAAGGCAGAAAAAACAAAUCCCAUAGCCGGGACCAAUCAGAAUUAACUCCCAAUUGAGAUUGGAAGAUGAACCUACUAGCAAAACUAAAGAACCACUAAGGCUGACCGGGAGUAAAGUAGAACCCAACAGCAGCAUAAACAUGGGAGAGCAGCAGCAGCAAGCACUUGAGAUCUAGAGGAGACUCGGGAUCAAACCAAACCACAGCAUCAGCAACAUCAGCUAACCAGCAACAGCACACUUAAGGCAGGAUCAGAGGCAGAACUUAGGACAAACUUGGUAGCAACUCCAGCUUGGAAACUUAACCCAAUGGGAAUGAGGUUCUGCUAGAGAACUAAGUCAGACUUAGUAGCAAAAUCCAACAGCAGCAUUGACAGCAAGCAGCAGCAGCAUAACUUGGGAGAUGAGAUCGACUCAGCAUUUAAUCACAUCAGCAACUUCAACUUUGGCAGCAGAGCAGUAGGGAUAUUUAGAACUGAACCAGACCCAAACUCCACAAACAACAACAUGGAAGCAGCAGCAACAGUACCACAGCAACAGGAGCAUCAAAUAACCAGCAACAGAGGCAAACCUAGAGAACUGAACUGAACUGAACCAGAGCACAGAAGCAGAUACAGCGCAGCAGCAGUUGCCGCAGCAACAACAAAUAAUACCUUUUUUGGUUUUUAGGACUGGGCCAGCCAAAAAACAAACAAAAACAUGGAGCUGAGUCAGAAACAGAUCCAACUCCACCCCAAAACCAGGAUCUAAUCCCUUUCUCUCAACCAGAGGAACUUGGGCUCUGGGAAACAAAACCAACUCCACAAACGCAGGCGGCAGCAACAGCAGUAUCUGAAAUGCCCAGACUUUUUUUUUUCUUCCUCAGCCACUAAUAAAACAAACCCACCCCAACAAUUGGCCUGAAGACUCGUGAAUAGACUCAGAAACCGGCAACAGCAGUAUCUGAAAUACCCUGACUACCGGAAGGGAUCUGAGCCACUACCGGAAGGGGAAAUUCUGAUUUAGCCACCGGUAGAGCCCUUUACCACUACCGGUAGAGAGAAUCUGUUUUAGCCUCUGGGGGGUAACUACCGGUAAUGCACAGAGACAAUACCAGAAGACACCUGUUUUGAGCAGUAUAAACAGCAAUAGAGCAGCAGCAGCAACUACAGCAACCCCCUAACCCAGAAACUAACCCCAUAGGAGACUAGGAAGCCUAGAACCUUAGGCUCUGGGGAGAGAACAAGCAUCCAUUCAGCAAAGGAGAAACAGCAGCAAAAAGAACCUGGGAACUGGUCCAGAUUCCGCAUCUAAAGCACUGCAGCAGCAGCACCCUCAUAUCAUCAUCAGCAGCACCAAGGCCUUGCAAACAUUGCUUCAUUGCAUCUAUUGCUUUCCCCAAGGCCUUUCACCCUGCCUUUCACCCUCAUAUCCUACCUGUGAUUGCAUCUAUUGCUUCAUUUCUAGUCCUCUUAAUUAUGAUUUUGGCCACCUUGUGAAGCAUGAAACGAAGGAAACAGCAAGGUAGUGUGUGUUCUGUGGAUACGAUGGCACACAAUGAUUUUAUAUUCAGAAAUUAGAGUAGUAUGCUCUGAAAUUACAAUAUUAUGCUUACAAUGCAAAAAAUUAUCUCAUUCAUCAAUCUCGGAGCACAAUGCAAAACUUAAUGUACAAUAUGAAAUGUUGGAGUCAAGAGUAACGUUUUACAUGUUCUAAGGUUAAAAGCAUUCUAGCAACUUCCAUUAAGUACUUGGACGAGGAGGGUUUGGAAAAGUUUAUGCUGGGCAUUUGAAUGAUGGCACUCAAGUUGCCGUGAAGAUGCUUUCUGACCCAUCACCUCAAGGGUCUAAGCAAUUUCUAACAGAGGCAAGUUCCCACAUACCCAUUUUCAAGUUUCAAAUUUGAUGCCCAUAACACACUGCAAAAACUGCUCAAUUUUGCUAAUAAUUGGAUAUACAUUGGAAAUACAGGCUCAGUUGUUGACGAAAAUCCACCAUAUAAACUUGGUUUCUUUAAAUGGAUACUGCGACGAAGGUGAACACAAGGGGUUAAUAUCUGACGACAUGGCUAAAGGAAGCUUACAAGAGCAUUUAACAGGUUUGAAUUGUCUUCUGAGACACGUAUGGUUCUCGAUUUUUUAUGAAUCUUACCAAAGUGUCAUCGUCAAUUUUAAGUUUUCAAGCUCUCACGCCUAAUUAGCUAAUAUAUGAUCAUCACAGUGAAGAAAUUCUUAGGAUGUUUCACAUGGAACGAUUAUGUCUUUUACAGUAACUUAUAAGCUAUGUUUCAUAAGGGGAUCUCAUAACCAUGGUUAACAGGAAUAGAUAAUGAGAUUGAUGCAAGUCUAUAACUUUUAUAAGCUAAUCUAAAAUUAUGUGUUCUGGAUUCAAAUCUACUAGAAAAUGGUUGUAUUAAUGGCCAGUCUAGAACUAGAACAUAUAUCCUCAUAUGCUCUACCACGUUUUGCCCCCUUAACUACUGUUCACCAUAACAUUCAGUACUAGUUCAAUACAAUUUAUUUUUAAUGCUGGUACAGGUAAAAAAGAAACUAUAUUGAGUUGGGAACAGAGACUUCAAAUAGCAGUAGAUGCAGCACAAAGUUGCAACUGAAUACACACAAGAUUUUCUACUUCAAUUUCUACUAGUUUUUUGUUCAAGUAAUUUAAACUAACAGAAAAAAAAAAAAAAAAAAAAAAAAAAAAAACAAAAAAAAACCCAAAAAACUAGUAUACCGCCCCCACGUGGACUACUUGCAUAAUGCUUGCAAGUCACCAGUAAUUCAUGGAGACAUUAAGACUGCCAACAUAUUGUUGACUGAAAAUUUUCAAGCAAAAGUUUCCAAUUUUGGGAUAUCCAGAUUCAUGCCCCUUGAUGGUGAGUCUCAGGUCGCAAUUGCACUUGUUUUUACACCAGGGUACCUCGACCCAGAGUAGGUCUUUUAUUUUUUCCUCCCAACUUCAGUCUAUGUAUAAAAAAAAUUCAACUUGCUGAUAUCCAAAUUAUAAUUCAUCUGUCCGUAGAACUUGUUAUAUACUGUUAUUAUGUUCACACAAGAUACCAAACUUACUGUUAACUUUAAAGUCUUUGUAUCUUGGUGUCGUGUGUCUGUGUGUGUGUGUGUUUGUGAGAGAGAGAGAGAGAGUGGGUACCAGUGAACAUAUUGAAAAGAUCAAAGCAACAUAUCAUUAGUUUCACUUGUUGAACAAUCAAAAACAAAGAGAGAAGCCCAGAAAUAGAAUUGUCCAAAACUGUCUCAAAAUUUAAUCAUGAUGCAUGCAAUGACAACUCAUUUAUAUUUAUUCUUUUAAUGCAGAAUAACUGGCACGAUAUCUUAUUAGCCAUUAUAUGGAUAUCUUCAGCAACGAAUGGUAUAUAUGCAUAUCAUGUUUCGUGUAGGUAUCAGGAGUUGAAUUCGCUGAACAAGAAAAGUGCUGUUUACAACUUUGGGAUAGUGUUACCAGAACUGAUCACAGGCCAACCCCCAAUACUGAAAAGCCAUGAGAAGUAUUGAGAACUCUCACAUAAUCCAGUGGGUUAAGACAAAGCUUGAAACAGCUGAAAUCAAGCACAUCGUGGAUUCCCAGUUGCAAGGUGACUUUGACGCCAACUCUACCUGGAAAGCUGUGGAGACAGCAAUGGCAUGUGUGGAACGCAAUUCCAUCCAAAGGCCAGUCAUGAGUCAGGUCGUUUCGGAGCUAAGGGAAUGUUUGGAAAUGGAUAUAGUCGGAGGAAGGGCUUGGACGACAAUGGAGACCACAAUUCUCAAUCUAGCAGUUCAGCAUUGUUUGACAUUGAAAGUUCGGUAAG